UUCUUCCUACAACCUCAACAGCAACUGCACCUACCACCACCAUUCAAACUAAAACAACCACUCCAACUCAUAAACCAGUACAUACCACCACCAUCGGGACUAAGACAACCACCCC